rnacentral:rRNA from 1 species
CCCUAGGGGAAUCUUCCACAAUGGACGAAAGUCUGAUGGAGCAACGCCGCGUGAACGAUGAAGGCUUUNGGGUCGUAAAGUUCUGUUGUAAGGGAAGAACAAGUGCCGCAGGCAAUGGCGGCACCUUGACGGUACCUUGCGAGAAAGCCACGGCUAACUACGUGCCAGCAGCCGCGGUAAUAA